CGUGACGUCACCACGUGAUGCUACCGUCGUUGCCAUGGUGACGCGGUACAACACGCUGCCAUGGUGGUCGCUUUUGUUGUACGCGUCACCAUGGCAACGACUGUAGCGUCACAUGGUGACGUCACA